UACAGAGGUCUCAAGCGUUGUUCGGAUUCAUUGGGCGUAAAGGGUGCGUAGGCGGCGCGGUAAGUCGGGUGUGAAAUCUCGGGGCUUAACUCCGAAACUUGCAUUCGAUACUGCCGUGCUUCGAGGACUGGAGAGGAGACUGGAAUUUACGGUGUAGCAGUGAAAUGCGUAGAGUAUCAUGAGGAAGACCAGUGGCGAAGGCGGGUCUCUGGACAGUUCCUGACGCUGAGGCACGAAGGCCAGGGGAGCAAACGGG
rnacentral:rRNA from 1 species